rnacentral:rRNA from 1 species
CAGCCAUGCCGCGUGUGUGAAGAAGGCCUUCGGGUUGUAAAGCACUUUCAGUCGUGAGGAAGGUAGUGUAGUUAAUAGCUGCAUUAUUUGACGUUAGCGACAGAAGAAGCACCGGCUAACUCCGUGCCAGCAGCCGCGGUAAUACGGAGGGUGCGAGCGUUAAUCGGAAUUACUGGGCGUAAAGCGCAUGCAGGUGGUUUGUUAAGUCAGAUGUGAAAGCCCGGGGCUCAACCUCGGAAUAGCAUUUGAAACUGGCAGACUAGAGUACUGUAGAGGGGGGUAGAAUUUCAGGUGUAGCGGUGAAAUGCGUAGAGAUCUGAAGGAAUACCGGUGGCGAAGGCGGCCCCCUGGACAGAUACUGACACUCAGAUGCGAAAGCGUGGGGAGCAAACAGGAUUAGAUACCCUGGUAGUCCACGCCGUAAACGAUGUCUACUUGGAGGUUGUGGCCUUGAGCCGUGGCUUUCGGAGCUAACGCGUUAA